rnacentral:rRNA from 1 species
UACGUAGGGGGGCUAGCGUUGUCCGGAAUCAUUGGGCGUAAAGAGCGUGUAGGCGGCUCGGUAAGUCCGCUGUGAAAGUCGGGGGGCUCAACCCUCGAAUGCCGGUGGAUACUGUCGGGCUAGAGUGCGGAAGAGGCGAGUGGAAUUCCUGGUGUAGCGGUGAAAUGCGCAGAUAUCAGGAGGAACACCGAUUGCGAAGGCAGCUCGCUGGAACGGUACUGACGCUGAGGCGCGAAAGCGUGGGGAGCAAACAGG